GUCGAACGCUGGCGGCGUGCUUAACACAUGCAAGUCGAACGGAGUGGCGAACGGGUGAGUAACACGUGGGUGAGCUGCCCUGCACUUCGGGAUAAGCCUGGGAAAAUGGGUCUACUAACGGCUAGUGUGGGCUGGGCGCUGGGCUUAUCAGCUUGUUGGUGGGGUAAUGGCCUACCAAGGCGGCGACGGGUAGCCGGCCUGGGAGGGUGGACGGCCAAAGUGGGACUGAGAGACGGCCCAGACGCGUACGGUAGACAGCAGGGGGGAAUAUGGCACAAGGGGCGGAAGCCUGAUGCAGCGACGCCGCGUGGGGGAAGACGGCCUUCGGGGUGUAAACUCCUUGCGCCAUCGACGCGGUAGAUGGAGAAGAAGCACCGGCUAACUACGUGCCAGCAGCCGCGGUAAUAC
rnacentral:rRNA from 1 species